rnacentral:lncRNA from 1 species
GCAAGUUUUUCAUUAAAGUUGUUGUUUUCUGGUUUCGCCUUAUUCAUCAGCAUGAACGUGGUCCCAGGACUUGAAGCUGGAAAAGGAGGUGAAAUGAAUUUUUAUUUUAGUUUGAGAACUAUGGAAUUGGGCCGGUUUGCCAAUAGAGGUUGGCUAUUUAGAUGAGUCUAUUUGGUUUCAGGAUGAUGUCCAGCCUCAUCCUUCACCAGCUGAGUACUGCUUGUUCCAGAAUUGCGUUGCUGAAAGACUGGAGUCAUACAAAGUCAGGCAGGAGUGUCUCAAGAAAGCAAUGCCAAGACACAGCUUUGGAAACAUGGUCUAAGAGGCAUCCAGUAAUGUUUAUCAGCAUUCUGUGCAAGGAAACUCGACUAGAAUGUGAGGAAGCGCAAGAUGGAUUCUAUUACCACAGAAAAGCCAGACUUCACACCCGAAUGCCAGGCUCUGCCAGAGAAAAGGGGUUCGGGAGGAGCAGACACUGAAAAAAAAUCACAGGUAAAGCUUUGCUAUGUGAAAAGAAAGGUAAUGUAAGCUAACUAAAAAUUAGACUGCCAGCGAACGAGGAUGAUUUGACAAUGAAAUCAAAAAACAAUACAUUAAUUUUUUUAAAAGAUUUUAUUUAUUUAUUUAUUUAUUUAUUCAUGAGAGACACAGAGAGAGGCAGAGACACAGGCAGAGGGAGAAGCAGGCUCCAUGCAGGAGCCCGACGCGGGACUCGAUCCCGGGACCCCGGGGUCACGCCCUGGGCCGAAGGCAGACUCUCCACUACUGAGCCACCCAGGGAUCCCCAACAAUACGUUAAUUUUUAAGUAUAUGUUUAAAUAGGAUUGAAGAACGAUGAGGAAAGUUAAGAUAAGACACCAGUAUUUAAAAAUGAGAUUAAGAUACAUGAUAAUUAAAAGCCUCAAGUUCUUAUCCCGAGACAUCCUUGGCCACCUCCCCGUGUGAGAGAAGCGUCCACCGCUGGGCCUGGAGCCUGAGCGCCCUGCCGGCGUCCUCUCACGUUAGUGUGAUAUGGCACCGUAGCCAAGGCAGUCGCUAAGGAGCAUUUAGAACAAACAAAAGCUACGUCAAACUGUAAAAACCUGAGCAUUAUCGUUGAGUCGAAGAAUAAGGGGCAUGACACUGAGAAUCACGUCACGUGAAAAAUUUCCCGGGAGGAGGGGUCGUGCGAGCUGACUCCCUGCAGCCACAAGGCCAAGCGCCAGCAGCCCCGCUGGGACGGCGCUAACUAGCCCGGUCGACAGAAAGGACGAGUCCGGCCCCGUGGGCAGCGCGGCUGUGGCCCGGGCAAGGCCACCUGGUCUCUAGGGACUCCCAAGGGGUGAGCAGGAGCUUUGGGCCCUGGACGGUGCAGGUCCCACGGCCAGGGGCUGCCCCGGCCCCCGGCCCCACUUGGGCCCCGGAGGGGGCACAGCUGCCCUCGGUGGCGGUGGCCGUGGUCACCCCCGGUCCAGGGGAGCACAGCCACUAGGGAGCAAAGACACCCAGCAGCCCCCCUGCAACAUCUGCCCACAGGCUCUCAAGCAUUGUAAGGGCGGAACAGGGACCGCCUCGGCCUCAGCAAGAGGCCACCAAGCCACCAAGCUCACUUACCCACCAUUUCAGGGCCCCCCGGAUGCUGUGACAUUUGGAGGGCUUUUCAAAAGCAUCAAAACCCACAAACUG